GUGAGAAGAUGCAAGAACUCAUAACUGCAAACUUCAAAGGGAAAUGGCAUUUCUCUCGUACUUCAGAAGUAGCCAGGGAUGAAUGAGCUCUACCCUCAUGGACUACAGAUCCAAGUUCCUGGCCUUCCAAACAAUCAAUGCUGGUGCAAGAGGUACCUGGUUAACUUUCAAGAGUUUUAAGAUCAAGCUGUUAAAAAAUUGGAGAAUGGUAGUUCAGCCAUAGAUGUCACAUCAAGCUUCUUCAUCAUUUUUACCAGCAUUAUCUAAAUGCUGUAAUUGAUAUCAAAUUGCAAGACAGGAGGCCUGGCAAUAGAACCUUGCAGCUCAUCUCUCUUCAGAUGGCAUAUGGGGAAGACUGAUGACAGCUGGAUCCUGGAAAACCAUUGCACAGUGAUAUAAACAGCUGAAGGCUGAGUAAGGUAUAUGAACCAGAGAGUUAUUUACUUAUCUGCAGUAUGGGGAAAGUCAUCCUGUUGCAUAGAGCCAUUAAGGAGAUUAUGUGGAAUCAUGUAUGCAAGAGUCUUGCACAGUGUCUGCACAUGUCUGAGGAUCCUGUCUUUCUACUUGGUGUUGCUGGUAAUGAUUUCAGUGUUCGUUAGGAGAACUGGUGCUGUGAAUCAGAAACAAAGAGAAGAAACACAGGUGAGUUAAUUUGGUUCUUUCUUUAACUUGUACCCUGAUAAGAGAUAACAUCAGAAAGGAACCAAAACUCUUAGUUAAAAAGUGGUCUUUAGGCCAGGCACGGUGGCUCACGCCUGUAAUCCCAGCACUUUGGGAGGCCAAGGCGGGUGGAUCACGAGGUCAAGAGAUCAAGACCAUCCUGGCCAACAUGACAAAACCCUGUCUCUACUAAAAAUACAAAAAAAUUAGCUGGGCGUGGUAGCAUGAGCCUGUAGUUUCAGCUACUCAGAAGGCUGAGGCAGGAGAAUUGCUUGAACCCAGGAGGCGGAGGUUGCAAUGAGCCGAGGUCGCGCCAUUGCACUCCAGCCUGGCACCUGGUGAUGGAGUGAGGCUCUGUCUCAAAAAAAAGUGGUCUUUAAAUUAUCUGUGAAUUUAUGAUGUUAUGUACCUC
rnacentral:lncRNA from 13 species